rnacentral:rRNA from 1 species
UACGAAGGGAGCGAGCGUUGUUCGGAAUCACUGGGCUUAAAGAGUGCGUAGGUGGAUAUGUAAGUCAGGAGUGAAAUCCCCGAGCUCAACUCGGGAACUGCUCUUGAGACUGCAUGUCUGGAAUUCGGUAGAGGUUAGUGGAAUACCCAGUGUAGAGGUGAAAUUCGCAGAUAUUGGGUGGAACAUCAGUGGCGAAGGCGACUAACUGGACCGACAUUGACACUGAGGCACGAAAGCGUGGGUAGCAAACAGG